rnacentral:rRNA from 1 species
AUGAUCAUUGGAAAUGGCUCGACGGCGCUGUUUUGGGAGGAUCGCUGGAUUGGCGGGCAAUCCGUCGGUGAGAUCGCCCCCCUGCUCUACCAAUGCAUACCCAAACGUAGACGCAAAGCCAGGACGGUGGCAGAAGGGCUGGCGGGUAACUCUUGGGCACAUGAUAUACAUGGGAUCCUGGGCCUGCACGAGAUCAGCCAAUACCUGCUGCUUUGGCAGGCAGUGUGCCACACCACCCUGACGAACGAGCCGGAUCGCUUGCUCUGGAGGUGGACCGCCAACAGCAUCUACUCGGCACGCUCGUGCUAUGCGGCCAGUUUUCAGGGAUCCACACGGUGCCAUUCCUGA